GAAGCGGCAACAGCUCAAAUUUGAAAUCUGGCGUCAGCCCGAGUUGUAAUUUGUAGAGGAUGCUUCUGGGUAGCGGCCGGUCUAAGUUCCUUGGAACAGGACGUCAUAGAGGGUGAGAAUCCCGUAUGUGACUGGCUUGCACCCUCCACGUAGCUCCUUCGACGAGUCGAGUUGUUUGGGAAUGCAGCUCUAAAUGGGAGGUAAAUUUCUUCUAAAGCUAAAUACCGGCCAGAGACCGAUAGCGCACAAGUAGAGUGAUCGAAAGAUGAAAAGCACUUUGGAAAGAGAGUUAAAAAGCACGUGAAAUUGUUGAAAGGGAAGCGCCCGCAACCAGACUUUGCGGCGGUGUUCGGCUGGUCUUCUGACCGGUUUACUCGCCGCCGUGAGGCCAUCAUCGUCUGGGACCGCUGGAUAAGACCGGAGGAAUGUAGCUCCCUUCGGGGUGUGUUAUAGCCUCUGGUGAUGCAGCGCGUCUCGGGCGAGGUCCGCGCCUCGGCAAGGAUGAUGGCGUAAUGGUUGUCGGCGGCCCGUCUUGAAACACGGACCAAGGAGUCUAACAUCUAUGCGAGUGUUCGGGUGUCAAACCCCUACGCGUAAUGAAAGUGAACGGAGGUGGGAACUUUUUGUGCACCAUCGACCGAUCCUGAUGUCCUCGGAUGGAUUUGAGUAAGAGCAUAGCUGUUGGGACCCGAAAGAUGGUGAACUAUGCCUGAAUAGGGUGAAGCCAGAGGAAACUCUGGUGGA
rnacentral:rRNA from 1 species